GAGCUCGCUGUUACCUGAAGGGAUGGACUGGUCGGUGGAAUGUCCGGUGCCGUGAGUUACCUGCUCAGCCCUGGAGCAGGGGUCAAAGCUGGGCGGAGCUGGACAGCCAGUCUCAGCCUCAGGUACUCCAGUGACAAGCAGCAGCACCAGUGCUGAUGAGGGUAGCAGGGAAAACUGGUGAAAUGUGCCGAGGUCUCUCCAGAGGUGGUAGGCGGUUGCGCCAGCUUCACAUCCUGGAUAGGCAGGAACGUUUCCCUAUCAUACUCCUGUCCCGGGUCUCAUGUGUCUCAGUUCAAACAGACACUGCCGUCUAUCUUCAAGCUGCAAUGAAGCUGAGAGCCACAGAAAACACCUGUACCAUGGUUUCAGGGAGGAGUCUCUUCCCUCAGCCGAAAACAGACAGCUUUGCUGGUCAUCUGUUCUCCACUGCGAGGACGCUGCCACUCAGUGUGGAGAGAGGAAGGGGUUCUGCCUAUGGUGCAAGAAGGUCGGACUCGGCAGUUAAUACUCUUGGAUAAUGUAUUUAAGGAUGCUUAAGAAAUUGCAACAGCCAGUUCAACCUUCAGCAACCACCAUACUGAUCAGUAGUCAUCAACAUUGAGACGAGACUGUACACCAGCAAAAAGAUCCCAACUCAAUGAAGGCUCAGAUGAUUUUAGCAUUUUUUUAGCAAUAAAGCAUUUUUAAAUUAAACUAUAUACAUUGUUGUUUUAGACAAGUUUUUGCACAUUCAGAAUACAGUAAAGUGUAAACAUGACUUUUAUAUACACUGGGGAAACCAAAAAAUUUGUGUGACUUACUUUAUUGCAAUAUUUGUUUUAUUGUGCUGAUCUGGAGCUAAAUAUAUCUGAGAUAUGCUUGUACUGAUGAUUAUUUUAACACCAAGAUAUUUUAAAAUUCAUUAAAUAAAUGUUUAUUUAAAUAGACCUCUAGCAUACAUUUACUGGUAACUAAAGGCUUUGUUAACAAAGGGAAAUACUAAAUUAUUAAGGUUUUGCAUGACUUUGAAAAUUUCUAUAUUGAAUUAUAAAUACUAUGGAAUUAUAGCCUUUUUUUUGUUUUUUAAAUCAAAGAUUUAAAUUUUUCUCAAAUGCAUCUUUAUGAUUGAAGUCUGCUUAUCAUUAACAUUUGAUAUCAGAAGCACUAAUUCUUUGUUGUAGCCUUGUUUCAUCAAAAGCUGAUCAACUAUGUCUGUAUGAGUCUGUCAGAGAGCUGAAAAAGUAAUCAAAGGUCAAGAUGGAAGCUGCAGCUACAUACAGGAUCCCUGUGCCAGAUCAUGAGAGCUGAGAGUUACGACACAGAUAGUUCUGGGUGAAAAGCUUACUAGUAAUAGAGUAUAAUAUGUUUUAAUUUAAAAACAAUUUACUAUAUUUAAUUCAAACUAAAAUCAUAAAAUCAUUAGAAUAAACUAUAGGGAUAAAUUUUAAUGACCUUGGCAACAAAAGAAAAAGUAAAAAAAAAAAUGGGCUUCACAAAUAUUAAAAACUUUAGUGCAUCAAAGGACAUUAUCAAGAAAUUGAAAGGCUCUCUGGAAGAAUGGGAGAAGAUAUUUGCAAAUCAUAUGUUUGGUGGGGGAACAGGAUCCAUAAUAUAUAAAGAAUUCCUACAACUCAGCAACAAAAAGACAAACAACCCAGUUAAAAAGUUGGCAGAGGACUUGAAUAGAUAUUUCUCUAGAAAAUAUACAAAUAGCCAACAAGCACAUGAAAACAUAUUCAAAAUCAUUAAUCAUAAGGUAAAUACAAAUCAAAACCACAAUGAAAUACCAGUUCAAACCUAUUAAUAUAGUAAUAAUAAUAAUAAUAGGCUGGGUGCGGUAGCUCAUGCCUGUAAUCCCAGCACUUUGGGAGGCCAAGGCAGGUGGAUCACCUGAGGUCAGGAGUUCCAGACCAGCCUACCAACAUGGUGAAACCUUGUCUCUACUAAAAAUACCAAAAUUAGCCGGGCGUGGUGGUAGGCCUCCCAGCUACUCGGGAGGCUGAGGCAGGAGAAUUGCUUGAACUCAGGAGGCAGAGAUUGGAGUGAGCUGAGAUCGCACCGUUGCACUCCAGCCUGGGCAACACAGCAAGACUCCUUCUCAAAACAAAACAAAACAAUAAUAAGAAUACUAAUAAUCAGAAAAAUAACAAAUGUUGGUGAGGAUAUGGAGAAAUGGCUGAUAGGAAGGUAAAAUGGCACAGCCACUGGGACAAACAGUGUGUGGUCUUCAAAAAGCUUGUUAUGGACUUGAUGUGUCUACCCACGUCCACUGCCAAGUUCACACUCACUGUGAUGGUAUUUGGAGGUAGGGCCUUUGGGAGGUCAUUAGGCUAGGAGGGUAAAGCCCUCAUUAAUGGGAUUAGUGCCCUUAUCAAAGAGACCCCAGGGAAGCCCCUUACCAUGUGAGGGCACAGUGCAAAGACAGCAAUCUACAAAUCAGGAAGUGGUGUCUCACCAGGUACCUAAUCUACCAGAGCCUUGAUCUUGGACUUCACAGACUCUAGAACUGUAAGAAAUAAAUGUUUGUUUUUUAGGCCAUCCAGUUUAUGGUAUUUUUGUUACAGUAGUCAGAACUAAGACAAAGCUAAACAGAAUGACCAUGUGACACAGCAAUUCCACUACCAGGUGUAAUGCCCACUGUAAUUGAAAACAGGGACUCAAACAGACACUUUUAUACUAAUGUUUUUGCAGAAUUAUUCACAAUAGUCAAAAGGUGAAAAUAGCCCAGUGUCUAUCAACAGAUUAACGCAUAAACAAAAUGUAGUAUGUAUACACAUACAAUGAAAUAUUAUUCAACCAUAAAAAGGAUUGAAGUUCUGAUACAUGCUACGAUAUAGGUGGAUCUUGAAGUCAUUAUGUUAAGUGAAAUAAGCUGGGCACAAUAGGACAAUAUUGUGUGAUCCCACUUAAAUGAAAUAUCUAGAGUAGGUAGAACUAAAGACAGAAAGUAAGUUAGAGGUUACCAGGUUUAGGGAGGAGGUGGGGAACAAGGAAUAAUUGCUUAAUGGUUACAGAGUUUCUGUUACAGGUGAUGAAAACAUUUUGGAAAUAGAUAGUGGUGGUGGUUGAAUAACACUGUGAAUGUAAUUAAUACCACCAAAUUGUAUGCUUAAAAUUUUUUUAAUUGGC
rnacentral:lncRNA from 1 species